rnacentral:rRNA from 1 species
AACGAACGCUGGCGGCAUGCCUAACACAUGCAAGUCGAACGAGACCUUCGUGUCUAGUUGCGCACGGGUGCGGAACGCGUGGGAACCGGCCCGUAGGCUCGGAAUUCUUCAGUGAAAUGUGAGCUAAUACCGGAUAAUGUCUGCGAAUCAAACAUUUAUCGUAUUUGGAUGGGCCCGAGUAGUAUUAGCUUGUUGGUGGGGUAAUGGCCUACCAAGGCGUGGAUCCUUAGCGGGUCUGAGAGGAUGGUCAGCCACACUGGGAGUGAGACACGGCCGAGACUCCUACGGGAGGCGGGAGUGGGGAAUAUUGGACAACGGGCGGAAGGCUGAACCCGCACUGCCGCGUGAGUGAUGAAGGCCUUAGGGUUGUAAAGCUCUUUUACCGGGGAUGAUACUGACGGUACCUGGAGAAUAAGCACCGGCUAACUCCGUG